rnacentral:rRNA from 1 species
UAUGCGCUGAGAGAGGAGCCCGCGGCCGAUUAGCUAGUUGGCAGGGUAAAAGCCUACCAAGGCAUAGAUCGGUAGCCGGCCUGAGAGGGCACACGGCCACACUGGCACUGAAACACGGGCCAGACUCCUACGGGAGGCAGCAGUGGGGAAUCUUGCACAAUGGGGGAAACCCUGAUGCAGCGACGCCGCGUGAGCGAUGAAGCCCUUCGGGAUGUAAAGCUCUUUCGGCAGGGAAGAUGGUGACGGUACCUGCAGAAGCAGCUGCGGCUAAUUACGUGCCAGCAGCCGCGGUAAUACGUAGGCAGCGAGCGUUGUUCGGAGUUACUGGGCGUAAAGGGUGUGUAGGCGGUUGUUUAAGUUUGGUGUGAAAUCUCCCGGCUCAACUGGGAGGGUGCGCCGAAUACUGAGCGACUAGAGUGCGGGAGAGGAAAGUGGAAUUCCUGGUGUAGCGGUGAAAUGCGUAGAUAUCAGGAGGAGCACCGGUGUGUAGACGGCUUUCUGGACCGUAACUGACGCUGAGACACGAAAGCGUGGGUAGCAAACAGGAUUAGAUACCCUGGUAGUCCACGCCCUAAACGAUGCAUAUUUGGUGUGGGCAGUUCAUUCUGUCCGUGCCGGAGCUAACGCGUUAAAUAUGCCGCCUGGGGAGUACAGUCGCAAGGCUGAAACUCAAAGGAAUUAACGGGGGCCCGCACAAGCGGUGGAGCAUGUGGUUCAAUUCGACACACGCGAAGAACCUUACCUGGGCUCGAACGGCUUCUCAACGGCGUUAGAAAUAGCGCUACCCCGCAAGGGGGUGGAGUCGAGGUCUGCAUGGCUGUCGUCAGCUCGUGUCGUGAGAUGUUGGGUUAAGUCCCGCAACGAGCGCAACCCUUGUCCUGUGUUGCCAUGCCGCAAGGCGGCACUCGCAGGAGACCGCCAGCGAUAAGCUGGAGGAAGGUGGGGAUGACGUCAAGUCCUCAUGGCCUUUAUGUCCAGGGCUACACACGUGCUACAAUGGCCGGUACAAAGCGUCGCUAACCCGCGAGGGGGUGCCAAUCGCAAAAAACCGGUCUCAGUUCGGAUUGCAGGCUGCAACUCGCCUGCAUGAAGCUGGAAUCGCUAGUAAUGGCAGAUCAGCACGCUGCCGUGAAUACGUUCCCGGGCCUUGUACACACCGCCCGUCACAUCACGAAAGUGGAUUGUACUAGAAGUCUGCAGGCUGACCCGCU